rnacentral:rRNA from 1 species
AUGAACGCUGGCGGCGUGCCUAAUACAUGCAAGUCGAGCGAACAGACGAGGAGCUUGCUCCUCUGACGUUAGCGGCGGACGGGUGAGUAACACGUGGAUAACCUACCUAUAAGACUGGGAUAACUUCGGGAAACCGGAGCUAAUACCGGAUAAUAUAAUGAACCGCAUGGUUCAAUAGUGAAAGACGGUUUUGCUGUCACUUAUAGAUGGAUCCGCGCCGCAUUAGCUAGUUGGUAAGGUAACGGCUUACCAAGGCGACGAUGCGUAGCCGACCUGAGAGGGUGAUCGGCCACACUGGAACUGAGACACGGUCCAGACUCCUACGGGAGGCAGCAGUAGGGAAUCUUCCGCAAUGGGCGAAAGCCUGACGGAGCAACGCCGCGUGAGUGAUGAAGGUCUUCGGAUCGUAAAACUCUGUUAUUAGGGAAGAACAAAUGUGUAAGUAACUAUGCACGUCUUGACGGUACCUAAUCAGAAAGCCACGGCUAACUACGUG